rnacentral:rRNA from 1 species
CAUGUAGGCGGUCCUUUAAGUCUGGAGUGAAAAUGCGGGGCUCAACUCCGUAUGGCUUUGGAUACUGGGGGACUUGAGUGCAGGAGAGGAAAGGGGAAUUCCCAGUGUAGCGGUGAAAUGCGUAGAUAUUGGGAGGAACACCAGUGGCGAAGGCGCCUUUCUGGACUGUGUCUGACGCUGAGAUGCGAAAGCCAGGGUAGCGAACG